rnacentral:rRNA from 1 species
UACAGAGGUCUCAAGCGUUGUUCGGAUUCAUUGGGCGUAAAGGGUGCGUAGGCGGCCUCCUCAGUCUGGUGUGAAAGCCCGGGGCUCAACCCCGGAAGUGCAUUGGAUACUGGGAGGCUGGAGUACCGGAGAGGAGGGUGGAAUUCCUGGUGUAGCGGUGAAAUGCGUAGAUAUCAGGAGGAACACCGGUGGCGAAGGCGGCCCUCUGGACGGAUACUGACGCUGAGACGCGACAGCGUGGGGAGCAAACAGG